AUUGAACGCUGGCGGCAAGCCUAACACAUGCAAGUCGAACGAGUGGCGGACGGGUGAGUAAUGUCUGGGAAACUGCCUGAUGGAGGGGGAUAACUACUGGAAACGGUAGCUAAUACCGCAUACCAUCGGAUGUGCCCAGAUGGGAUUCGCUAGUCGGUGGGGUAAAGGCUCACCUAGGCGACGAUCCCUAUCUGGGCUGAGAGGAUGACGAGCGAGACUGGAACUGAGACGCGGUCGAGACGCCUACGGGAGGCAGCAGUGGGGAAGAUUGCACAAGGGGCGCAAGGCGGAUGCAGCCAUGCCGCGGGGAUGAAGAAGGCCUUCGGGUUGUAAAGUACGUUCAGCGGGGAGGCGUUACACGCAGAAGAAGCACCGGCUAACUCCGUGCCAGCAGCCGCGGUAAUUC
rnacentral:rRNA from 1 species